rnacentral:rRNA from 1 species
GGAAGCCACUUCGGUGGCAGGAAGACAGGUGGUGCAUGGUUGUCGUCAGCUCGUGUCGUGAGAUGUUGGGUUAAGUCCCGCAACGAGCGCAACCCUUAUUGUUAGUUGCUACCAUUUAGUUGAGCACUCUAGCGAGACUGCCCGGGUUAACCGGGAGGAAGGUGGGGAUGACGUCAAAUCAUCAUGCCCCUUAUGUCUAGGGCUACACACGUGCUACAAUGGUCGGUACAAUGAGAUGCAACCUCGCGAGAGUGAGCAAAACUAUAAAACCGAUCUCAGUUCGGAUUGUAGGCUGAAACUCGCCUACAUGAAGCUGGAGUUGCUAGUAAUCGCGAAUCAGAAUGUCGCGGUGAAUACGUUCCCGGGCCUUGUACACACCGCCCGUCACACCAUGAGAGUUGGCAAUACCCAAAGUUCGUGAGCUAACCGCAAGGAGGCAGCGACCUAAGGUAGGGUCAGCGAUUGGGGUGAAGUCGUAACAAGGUAGCCGUAGGAGAAC